rnacentral:lncRNA from 1 species
AAACGGAUUGAGGAACACAUGGGUCAAAAGUAAUUGAACGGGUCUUAAAAAUGAAACCGUGUGACUCCCUCACCUCAAACCCUUCCUUAUGAAAUUCGCUGCUUCACAGAGCUCACUCCCUAACUCAUCCUUAUGAAAUUCCUUCCUUCCGAUUCUCUCAAAUUGAAAAGAUCGUAAAGAGGUUCUGCAAGUUUUUUUGAGCAUUAUGGAGUUUCUUUCUUUCCUUUUUUUAGCUAAAUAGCAUUAUGGAGUUUCCUGAUUUGCAUUAUGGAGUUUCUGUAAAAUCCCGAUUUUUUUUAUAAAAUAAAAGUCUAAUUUAAUUUAUGAUUAUUAUUUUUAAAACUUUAAAAUGUUAAUUUGAUAAAUGAUCAAACGGACAAUGAGCUAAUAAAAGAGGAGAGGGAUUUAAUUCUUCUAGGCCGUCCAUGAGGGCGUCUAAGUGUUGAUGGUUAAUUGUGAGUGGAAAAUUAUGGGGGGGGACAAGUGGGGGACGAAGAAAAGAAAAAGGAAGAAAAGAAAGGAAAAGGAAAGAAGAAAAGGAGGGAGAGAGAAAAGGAAAUAAAAAGAAUGCACCCCAUUUCUUCCAUUCACGGGAGGCUUAGAUUAGGGGAGAAAAGAAGAGAGAGAGAGAGAGAGAGAGAGAGAGAGAGAGAAGAAUGAGAAGAGGAAGAAGAAAGAGAUGAGAUAUUCACCCAUUUCUACUUACGGAAAAUCAGAAAUAAAAGAGAGAGAGAGAGAGAGAUGAGGAGGAAGAAGAGAAAAUCAACAAUUUCAUAUCUUCUUCAUCUUUAAUCAUUCUAUGAUCAUCAUAUUUAUCUUCAUCCAAUAAAAUAUCCAAGAAGCUAGUGAGAGAAUCAAGUGGGUGUAAUGGAAAAGCUUGAGGAAAUUAAGAAGGUAUGUUUAUAAAUCCUUGAUUUAUUCUUAGAUUUAAGUUUUAUGGAUUUUAUGUAAAGAGUACAUACUUAUGUAUAUAUUGAAUGAUUUAAACUUGUAUAAACAUGAGUCAAGUGAGAGAAAUCUAGAAAUCAAAUGAAGAACAAAAUAUGGAGAUUUUCAGAAAAUUAAACUAGUUUACUACUUGAUUUUGUAAAAUCCAUAACUCUUUGUGUAUAAUGAGUUAAGAGAUGAGCCAUAUAUCAAAAGAAAGCCCUGGAAGUAAGCUAACUACAGAAAUUUGAAUCACCCAAAAAUUCUUUGUAGAUUUUUUGUGGUGAUAGUUUGAGUAGAACUUGUCCGAAUGACUUAUAGUCCGAAAAAUCAGUUUUAUUAAGCUUUAUUGUGUGAGUUAUAAUUGUUAAUCUGACCGUUGGAUCGUUGUGAUUUUUGGAUAUGUUAUACAUAUAUAAUUUAAGUAUAUGUCUGCAAAUUUUGAACCGUUAAAGAUUAAUUUAUGAUUUGUUAUGAAUUUUGUGAGGUGGCUGGUUCAAAAAUCUUCAAGCAGAAUUUUUCGGUAAGAAUAUAUCUCUAUGUUAGAGUCAGAAUUUGGAAAAACUUUCUUCUACAAAAUUGUAGAGAAUUAAAUUUUACAUGAAAAGGGCAUAAGAUCCUUAUUUUUCUGAUAAAAGGAUAAUUAUUAUGAAUUAUUGAAAUUUCUGAAUAUUGGAGUUUAUAAUUAAAUUAUCAGAAAAAUGAUUUAGGUUGAAAUAUUUUUACAGAAUGCUUAUAAUAGCAUCUUAAAAUUUCUGUAAAUUUUUGAUGAAUUAUUGAAAAUCAGAAGUAAUUAUUGUAUUUUUAAACUAAUUAUAGUUAGUUUGAAAAUAGAAGAAAUUCAUAGAAUAUUCCAUGAAUGAUGAAAAAUUAUGAAAUUUGGUGAAAAAUCUUAUAAUGUUAUUUUAUUAUUUCUGGACAGUUUUGGAAAAUUAUUGAAUAACAGAAAUAUUUAUUAUAUAUUUAAACUAUUUAUGGUUAGUUUAAAAGUAGAGGAAAUUCAUAGAAAAUUCUAUGAAUGGUGGAAAAUUAAGAUUUUUGCUGAAAAAUGUUAUAAUAAUAUAAGAUUAAUAUUGAUGAUGUUUUUAAGAUAUAUAAGUAUGUGGAGUUAGUAUUUCUAAUUUAAAGCUAUUAAAUGAUAGUUUUUAUAAAUAGAAAUAAUUAUUGAAAAUUGUUGGUUAAUCAGAAAAAUAUGAAAAUUACUUGGAAAAUUCAGAAUCAUAUUUUUGAAUAUUUUAGAAGUGUUAGUAAGCUCAUGAGGUGUCAGGAUGUAAACGCACUAGUAACGAAUGAGUUAUGAUAAAAAAUAAAAAUAAUAUUUUUGUUAAAGUAAAAAUGGUGAUAAUACCACAAUAGUGGAUUGUCAUAUAUGAGGUUUAGAUUUCUCAAGUUUUAAUUAUCCACUUCUAAAGUUUUGAAAUAUGAAUAAUGAUUUUAUGCGAUAAAUAGAGAUAACUUGAAUGAAUAAUGAAUUGUUAGUUGGUUUAUGUGUUAUUCGAGAUAAAUAUGAUUUGGUGUUGAUCCCUACUUUUAAUAGAAUUUAAAUUGUUUAUAGUAAGGUAUUGAUUUGAUUUUUACGUAAGAAGCCACUCAGUCUUUCAUUCAAUAAUUGUCACAGUAGUUAUUGCACAGUGACUCAUAUUAUUUGAUAUGAUAUAAUUAAACCAGUUGGCAGUAUUGUGAACCUUUGUUAAUAAUGGUGAAUAAUUGCUGAAAGAAUGAAAAUGUGUAAAUAAUUGAUGAAUAAAAGUUGUUGAUUAAAGAUAAGUUUGAUAUACAGAUGAUUAUUCAAUUAUUUUCUUUUUUACAAAAGUAAGUUGGCAGGACUUGUCGACACUCUACUUUUUCUAAAGUAGUCUGGACCACAACUCAAUUAUUUUUAAAACGUGUACAAGUUGGUCUAAUUUUCUCCGUGGGACCAUAAACUCCACUACCAUAUACCUCAUUUGGUUAUUUUGUCAAAGCAGGUGUGCUAAUUAUUUACUAAAUUUUCAGUAUAAAUAGGUUGCCCGGUUGAGCAACUAAACACACACUAUCACUACACUAAAAAUAUAGAAUUUUGUUACUACAAUAUUGUGUGUAUAUUAUUGUGAGUAUUUCUAUUGAGUGUGAUGUUACUCCAAGUGUAGAUAAGGAAUGCAAGCAUUGUUUAAGUUAAUCAAUUUCACAGAAAGCAUAAUCAAGUCACAUGUUAAGGUAAGGGAUAUCAUUAUUGUGGUAAGAGAGUAUCAUUUUUAUGGUAAAAGGCAUAUCAUUUUCUUUCAUACCCCAUGUUAUGGUAAGAUAUUAUUAUUCGUUUAUUCAGUUUAGCAUUAAAUGAUGAAAAGUCCUGAAAGGAUUAGAAUAUCCUUAAUAGUUUGUGAUUCAUCUAUUAUUAUCAAUUUGGACUCUGGAUAAUUAAGUUGAAAAACACUAAGAUCUAUGUUAUCUUAUUAUUCUGAUGAUUUAUGUUUAUUCAUUAUAUAUAUCAUUGCCAUCAUUCUCAUGCUUAUAUUGUGUUGAAAGUCAUCUAUGGCCAGUAGUGCAUAGAUGGACUUAGUAUGAUUAUGACCAGGGAUUAUUUGGUAUAAUCAUGACCAUAAUUGAAAAUACGAAUAUCAUUGGCCCGUAGUGCAUGGAUAAUUCGUGGUAGUCUUAGCAUUAUUGGUUUUACAGUUGUAUAUCUUUGGCCUGUAGUGCAAAGAUGGACUGUUGGUUAUUGAUUUUACAGUUGUAUGAACUGUUGAUUUACCUUAUUAUAAAUAUGAAUUAUGAAUUUAAUUAUAAUCUGUGAUGGUUCAGGUGAAGACAAGUGAUGAGAUUUUUCUUUGUCUUGUGGAUAAUAAAGAACUAUUGAUGAGUAUUACAGGAAUGAAAUAUUAAUGAUGGACUUUUAAUCUAGAGGAGAUAGUAGACAUUAUGUUCUACUUGACUCUUCUAAUGGAUUGUUGAUUCCGCUGCUAUUAUGGUUGAAAACUUUUAUCUUUUACCAUAUGUUAUAAAUAUCUAAAUUCUUUUGAUAAUUUAAUUAUCUUAAGUCGUGAUAUUCUUUACUGAGUUAGUUGUGCUCACCCUUUUACUUCACCACCCAUUUCAGGUAAUAAAAGUGUAGCUGAGACUAGCAGGGAGAACAUAGGUAUAAAGUGGUAUACGAAUUAGUCACAAGCCUAACCAAAUUAUGAAACGGUGUGGCAUAAUAAUUGUACUGAGAACUUAAAAUGUGUGUGACAUGUUUUAUACAUCAUUUGAUAUUUUAUUUUGGUUAACAACAAUAGGGUGAGGCGAAAUCAGAAUUUGGAAGCGUCAAAGGUGCACUCCAUUAGAAUGAGGAGAACAAAAAUCUUCUCGUGUCCCUUUAGGGACUUGAUAUACUUGCUGCUGUACUUUAUAUGGCAUUGUAAUAAUUUAAAUAUGAAUAUUGUCGUAUUAUAUACGUAACAAUAUUUGUAUUGAAACUCAGAGUAUAUGAGUCGUUGUAUUUUGCACGACAAUUGUAUAAAUGGAGUUGUAAGUAGUGUAUUUUCUGGCGACCCAAAAUGGGUGAUGUAUACUUAUUUUUGGGGCGUCACAGUUUCAAUUUGAUGGGUGUGGAAAUUUUGUAAUGAGUAAACAUUUCAGGGGGUUUUCCUGUUGGCGAACCAUUUGGAGGCAAUAAGUUAAAUCAUCCACGACUUGGUGAACCUGGAUUUAGGAGCAGUUAUUCCCUCCAUGGAUUUCCAACAGAUGGUGGUUUUUAUAAAGUAAGUUUUGUUAACCUUUCUGCUACUUGUGGUGUUUUACUGUUUUUUAUUCCUAUUAUGAACCUUUUGUUGAUGCUGUGUGAGCUCAUUUUUUGGCGAAGGGACCAGAUGAGGGCUAGUGGUGAUAUGGAGAAAACCACUUCUUUUUGGAGCUCUCUGUAAUUGGUUUGAGAUAGCUAUUGUUGGAAUGUUGAUGAUUUGUCAGCAAGUCUCUGUAACAUCCGACUUCUUUUUGUGCACUUGUGUAAUUGGUUUGAGAUAGCUAUUGUACACUUCUUUUUGAAUGCUUUAACAUCCGACUUUUUUGAUAUGGUUAAUAGUCUGCUAUAAUAACAUACAUUAUCAGGAAGCCAGCCAGCCCAUGAUUGCUUCUGUUUUGUUUUUUUUCCCGUCAUUCUCAAGUCUCAACUAAGCCUCAACAAAUGUUUCAGUAAAUAAUUAGCAACCUAUUACACUAGUGUAAUUUGUAAGAUAUAUAUGCAAUAUGCCAAAUAUGUUUUUCAUAGUGCUCAGCAGAUACUAUGAAAUCCUUCCCCAACUUUACAUAUAAAUGACGAGUUUCUGAAAUUACUAAUAAUUAGUUCGAACAUCAAUCUAAUUAAUUGGAUAUCAAAGUUUCAGUAAAUAAUUACCACGACCUAGAAAAUACCCAACAGCUAGCAUAUCAAAGUUUUUUCAGAUGUCAAGAUAACAAUGUCAAAGGUUUGAGAAUUGAGCCAACUGAGUAAUUGCCACAAGAUGCACAAGCUUGCAAGAACAUGAAUCCUCCAAUAAAUCAAGUUCAAGUUACAUUAUCAAAAGAGGUGCAACCAGACAAACACCUAUAGUAAGAGCUAAAACAACAAUUUUAUUACAAACUUUGGGGAUAACUGCUGUUAUAAGGAGCACAGUUACAAUUAU